rnacentral:rRNA from 1 species
CCAGACUCCUACGGGAGGCAGCAGUGGGGAAUAUUGCACAAUGGGCGAAAGCCUGAUGCAGCAACGCCGCGUGAAGGAAGACGGUUUUCGGAUUGUAAACUUCUGUUCUUAGUGAAGAAUAAUGACGGUAACUAAGGAGCAAGCCACGGCUAACUACGUGCCAGCAGCCGCGGUAAUACGUAGGUGGCAAGCGUUGUCCGGAAUUACUGGGUGUAAAGGGAGCGCAGGCGGUAUGGCAAGUCAGAUGUGAAAACCCAGGGCCCAACCCUGGGACUGCAUUUGAAACUGCCAUACUGGAGUGCCGGAGAGGUAAGUGGAAUUCCUAGUGUAGCGGUGAAAUGCGUAGAUAUUAGGAGGAACACCAGUGGCGAAGGCGGCUUACUGGACGGUAACUGACGCUGAGGCUCGAAAGCGUGGGGAGCAAACAGGAUUAGAUACCCCCGUAGCA